CCGACCACGAUUCUUACUGUAAGUUUCAGUCCCUUGCACCCUUCCUUUCUAGGCAUUGAGUACAAUGCAGAGAUGAUCCCAAAUGCUGUAUUUUAAGUCAGGAUUAUCUCCACGUGCUCAUGACAAUCAAUGCUAAUAAAGUUAAUUUUUCAGGAUAUGGUCCCAAUAGUAUUCCGGUAUCAUGUCUCUAAACCUCCUUGACAAAUAUGGUCUCAUUCUCUUCACCCUGCUAUACGGUCUCCACUCCUGUAGCUGACACUGCUGGGAAUUAACAAAUGCUUCACUUUCAAACUCUGCACUGAGCGGAUAGUGUAUCAGAGGAAAUGUGUCUGUUCAGAGCACUUUUUUUGUGUGAGGACAAUUCUCAGCAACAGAGCAGCGUCCACCCAGUAUCGUGCAGAAGCAAAACCCGCCUCCCUACAGCACAGGGCAUUUUCUUGGGGCUGCAAGGCAGACCUCAGGAGCCGCUGUAUGAAGCUAUAAGGGUGAUGAUUUUGGCAGAGGAUGCCCAUGGGUGCAUUUGUGCUGGUGGCUGGGGAAGGUCUCUCCCCUGCUGAUGGCUGGGCACUCAUUCAGGAUCUCCCUGCAGAUGCCAACGUGGAUCAAAUGAGGAGAGUGAAGGCCUCUGGAAUACACAGCUCUGAAGUUUGUACAUAGGACAGAAUGUCAGAAAGUGAGAGGUGAUCCACCCCUUUCUCUGCAAGAAGAAGGGGGAAAGCACAGCAGAGGUGACACUUAUCAAUAAAAGCAUGAAAUCCUUCUGCAUCAG